AAAAAAAAAACCCAAAAAAGAAAUGGAAACAAAAAAUAACUUUG
rnacentral:rRNA from 1 species